GCAGAUCAAUAAGCGGAGGAAAAGAAAAUAACAAUGAUUCCUUUAGUAACUGCGAGUGAAGAGGGAAAAGCUCAAAUUUAAAAUCUGUUAGGUUUUUCCUAACCGAGUUGUAAUUUGAAGAAGCGUUUUCGGCGUUUCUUGGUUGGCCCAAAUUCCUUGGAAUAGGAUAUCAUGGAGGGUGAGAAUCCCGUACGGCUGAUCAUUACGCUUUACGAUACGCUUUCUAAGAGUCAAGUUGUUUGGGAUUGCAGCUUAAAAUGGGAGGUAAAUUUCUCCUAAGGCUAAAUAUUGGCGAGAGACCGAUAGCGAACAAGUACCGUGAGGGAAAGAUGAAAAGUACUUUGAAAAGAGAGUUAAACAGCGCGUGAAAUUGUUGAAAGGGAAACGAUUGGAGUCAGUCGUACCGACGAAAAAUCAACCAUAUCGAGUGUGAUUUUGUGGGUGGUGGAGAGCUUAACGGCCUUCAUAUUUGCAAAUUUGUUUUCUUGUGGUGUAUUUUUUCGUAUGGUAGGUCAACAUCAAUUUUAAUCGUUAUAAAAUGAUUGGGGGAAUGUAGCUUUGAUCUCGUAUUGAAGUGUUAUAGCCUCUGAUAGAUGUAACGAUUAGGAUUGAGGAUUGCAACGGAUGUCCUUCGGGGUUAUUCGUCUGAUCUCUGGAAGUCACUUUGGUGGCGAAAGCGUGCUUUCGCCAUUAAGGAUGGUGACCAAAAGGUUAGAGCGUAAUUCAUUAUUUAUGGAUUUAGGGACGUAAUGGCUUUAAACGAC
rnacentral:rRNA from 1 species